GUGAAUCAUCAAAUCUUUGAACGCAAAUUGCACUCUCCGGGUUUCCGGUAUAGUAUGCCUGUUUGAGUUUCAGCCUAAAAAAAAUCGGCAUUGUUGCUGUUUUAUGGUGACUUUCUUCGAAGAUGUUUUAUCUUAAAUCUCGGUUUAAGCAACUUAAAAAUUUUUUUACGAUUCUAGGAAUGUUUCUAAGUUUGUUCGUGUACGUUUAAGGUAUCGAAUGUCUUAUUGUACGUGGCCGUCAUAUCGUAUCUGGUCCAUAAUU
rnacentral:misc_RNA from 1 species